GUACCACCUGUAGCAGCGCCCCAUGAUGUGUGGCUGAGAUGAAUCCCUCCUACGUACCAUCUCUAUCAGUAUCAGCGCCCCAAGGAAGUGCAAGUAGCAAAACUAAUGUAUGAUGAACCCAUCGCAUGUACCACAUGUAGCAGCGCCCCAUGGAUGUGUGGCUGAGAUGAAUCCCUCCUACGUACCAUCUCUAUCAUAUCAGCGCCCCAAGGAAGUGCAAGUAGCUAAGUGAGAGCAAUGCAGACUAAUGUAUGAUGAACCCAUCGCAUGUACCACCUGUAGCAGCGCCCCAUGGAUGUGUGGCUGAGAUGAAUCCCUCCCAUGUACCAUCUCUAUCAGUAUCAGCGCCAUCGCAUGUACCACCUGUAGCAGCGCCCCAUGAUGUGUGGCUGAGAUGAAUCCCUCCUACGUACCAUCUCUAUCAGUAUCAGCGCCCCAAGGAAGUGCAAGUAGCAAAGUGAGAGCAAUGCAGGUUAUUUUUUAAAAUAUUUAAUUUUUAUUAUGUAUUUAAUGAAUAAUAAUAAUGAUUAGUAGUAAUGAAUUUGUCUUCCACAGCGCAACAAAAUAACUUCAAUCAAUAAUUAGUAAAUAAUAAAUAGAUUUGAGGUAUUUGUUCUGUCAUCAUUAUGUUCCCUUUUAGCUGGACGAUACAAUCUCAUAAAAUGCAAUGAGAGUGCACAUAUAGAGGAUCCUUGAUAACUUUGCAGAAAAAAUAUGAAUGUGGUUUCAUGCAUGGGAGGUUGAUAUGUACAGUCCUAAUUGAAAAAGUAAUCUAUCUCUUCCCAUUAUCUCAUUGUUUUAACAGAAAAGAAAGAGGAGGAAGUAUGUAAUUAUGUGUCUGCAUAUAUUUCCAAGUAUGGAGAACAUCAAAGCGUCUCUUUUAAGUUAAUUGAAUCAUCCAUGCAAAAUAUCUUUUUGAUGAUAACUUUAAUAAAUGGAUCAUGUUAUUUUAAUAAAGUAUGUUAAGCCAAAUUAAAAAA